UGAGAUAGGCAAGCUGGAGGGCUUUGUCUGAGAGUUUAAACCACACAGCAGCUUGUUCAUGUCAACAGGAUGGCAGAUGAGUCUAGACCAUGCAAAUGCCAGGAGAAGAGCCAAAAGGCAAAAUAUCUCCGUGCCAUCUCACACACCGAGAGCCCCCCAGAAGCCUCUGGGUUUCAUUUCCUCCAUCAGGAGCUCAGAUAACAGCAGCAGAGACAAUCACACACGAGUUAAGAAUGCAAAUACAGUUCUCAUUCCUUCUUAUGCUUUCUGUGCUGCUGGGGAUUGAACUCGGGACAUGUAAUAUCCCACACAGAUACUCUCUACUACUGAAUUACAUCUUCAGCCUGACAUUUUAAGGAAAAACACAGAGAAAAAUGGUAUCCUAUUGAAUAAAUCCUGGCUCUUCAAAACAAACUCAUUUUGAAGUAAAGGGUGUGGCUUAGUUAGUGGAGCGCUUUCUAGCAUGCACGAAGUCCUGGGCUCCAUCUCCAACGCUUCGUAAAUCUGGCAUGGUGGUACAUGCCUGUGAUCCCAGCAUUUUGGAGGUGGAGGCAGGAGGCUCAGAAGCUCCAGGCCAUCCUUGGUUACACUGAGUUUGAGGUUAGCCUUGGCUAUGUGGGAUUCUGUCUGAACUCUGCCCCUCCUAUCCCCACAUGGUUUUUAUCACUCAAAAAUUUCUCAGCUCUCUCUUUGGGGACUGUCCCAUGAGUGCAGCGACUCUAGCUUGUAGAUUUGGUCAGCGUUGUCAAGUCUGGGCCUUUUAAAAUGGAUUGUGAAUUUUUCCCAAAGCCAUUUAAAAAAAAUUCUAUUUGGAAACUGGGCAAUGACUUUGGGAGAGCUUUGAGUGAAAAUAAAAUUUGAAUGGAGAGGCCAGAGGCUGUUAGUCCCACAGAGUGAAGAAAGAAAAGGGCCUUGGAGAUCUUGAGGCUAGGUUCGGCCAUGAGAUCUUCUGUUGCCUGGGCUCUCUCUGGCUUGGCAGGGUGCUUGUCUAUACUCGUGUGUAUAUGUUUGCAGAGAAUACUAACCUUUUACAUACUAAUGGAUGAGGCUGGGAGAGAUGGUUCAGUGAAUAAGAGUGCCUGUUAUACAGCAUGAAGAUCUUUGGUGGAAUCUCCCGCAUCAUGUAAAAAGCUGAGUGGCCUGUAUAUAUGCUAACCACCCCGCAUGGUGGAAAACAGAGACAAGGAGCUUUCUGACACAGUCUAGCUCCAGGUUCAGUGAGAGGCCUGUUCUGAAGGACAUAAAGUAGAGAGUGACAAAGUAGGGCAACUAUGCCCUCUUCUAGCUUCUUCACGCACACGCGCACACACACACACACACACACACACACACACACACACACACACACACACACACUAGGACUGGAGUAUUUACCCAUUUGAAGUCACUGGAUGAGAAAGAAAGAUAUUGCACCAGACUCUGUCUGUUCUGGAGGAGAUCCCAGGGCCCAUCUCUUCGUUAUCCCUAGUAUUAGCAUAACCAGAGCCUACACAGGAAACAGCCGUGCCCCAGCCUGUCCACAUUUUCAUAAUGAGGUGGGCAAGGUCCUGAGGGCAAAAGGUCGACUUCUGGGCAGAAGGAAGAUGGAUCUGUCCUCCUUGGGACUCAGCUGCCUGCGUCACCUGAAGCAGACAGACCUGGACUUUGUUACAGAUAGGCUCUCAUGUAGCCUAGGCUGGCCUGGAACUCACUAGGGAGCCAAGGGUGAUGUUGAACUUCUGAGCUCUCUGCCUCUACCUUGUGAGCUCUGGGAUUACAAGUGUGCACCACCACAGCACAUUCAAUGCAGUGCCGGGGAUGGACCUCACAGGUUUGGCCACGUUCAGCCAUCUCUUUACUGACAGAGCUACAUCCUCAGCCUCUACGAUGAGAUCCUUUUUCAUAAUUACUUUUUAUAACCCAGGUGCACAGUUUUUAAGUGUGAACUGUUCAGUAACAAGUCCUGCCAUACAGUUGGGUAUAUCUGCAGUUUAGGAUAUCUUGUGUUGUUGGAAAAGAACUUUCCUUUUUGAAUGUGAAGAAAUUGGCUGAACUGCCAAUUAUAAUUUAGUUGGAUGCUUGACUCGAACAUUCCCCUGACUGUUGACUUCCUGCCAUAAUGCGUAAGCCUGGGCCCAUCAUUUAUCGUCUGUCUACGUCAAGGUCUAGAUCAGACAUUUUAUCCAUUGCUUCACCACCCACCCCCAUGGCUCUGCUGUGAAGACACCCAUGCUCAGCAAAUCCCUUGCAGGUUUGAAUAAUGAAUUAAACUCGCAUUAUCCAGAUUCCCUUGCUCUCGACUUCCUCUGCUGGCUGGACUGAAGCUAUUAUCCCAUUGUCCAAAGACUGAGCAGCCUCACCCAGUGCAUUGUGCGAUCCUGAGAUUUAGAUACAGUCCAUGGACAGAAUUUUCGAGGGUACAAUUUCAAGAGAUCUGGCUCCCUAUUCCAGACCACAGACCACCAGUCACAGAACUGAACCAAGUGAGCCUUCUCCUACUCAUUCUUAAACAAACAGAUGCAAGAUGUAUUUAAAGUUGAGUGUGAUGAUUGCUUCCAAGUCUUUUCUUCUGAUGUCCCAGGUACCAUUUAGUAAAGACGAAUGUUGAGAUGCUCCAGUUAUGGUCAGUUUAACUGCUAACUUCAUAAAACCUGGAAUCACCUGGGAAGUGAAAGUGUCUAGAUCAGGCUGGCCUUUGGGCAUGUCUCUGGGUGUUUGUCUUGAUCAUUAAUAAAGGAAGACCCAUCUUGAGUGUGAGAGCCACCAUUUCAUGCACUGGGUCCCAGAAUACAUAAGACUAUAUAAGAGUGAAGAAAUCUAACUGAGAAGAAGCACAGAUCCAUGUGUUUAUUCUCUCUGUGCUUUUGUAGAUGUGAUAUGAUUAGCUGCUUGAGUUCCUGCCUUGAUUUCUCCUAAAAAAUCUUCUGGAUUGUGACAAGAAGUAGAAGCCAAAUAAAUCCUUUCUUACCAUAA